rnacentral:lncRNA from 1 species
CAUCACCUUGUGAAUGCCCAACCCAUAUAAUCUGAUACAAAUAAUAAUUACAACGUGUGUUAAUUGCCAUGAACUAAAAAGCACAUAUAGUUAAGGGUUCAUGUUUGAUUUAGUCUUAUAUUCAUUCACCUUGUGCAGUUCAUCUGGGAUUGUUUCAUUAUGCAGCCUGAUGGUCUUCUCCGAUGCCAAUCACUCCCCAUACCUCAUUGGUCAACUGAUUACUAAAUAGCAUUCUCCAGUUGAAACCAAUAAUGAAGGGGACAUGAAAUUCUGCAGCCAUCAGCCAAGUCAUUAAACUGAAGAAUUUUUAGAAAAUAAUUACUAUUAUGGUUGUUGCAUGUAAACAGACAAAGCAAUCAAAAUCGAUGCAUGACCGAGAAAAGGGUUCAUAAUUAUGAACAAAAAAAUGGAACACUCCAACCUAUUUCAUCACAUCCGCUGUUAAAAUGAUGUGAAAGUUACUAAUUGAUAACGUACUCAUUGUUGAGUAGGACCAAGACAUAACCAAAGAAUGAAAGUGAAGUUUGAAUUUAUGGUAACGAAUUUUUUGUCUUCAAAUACUUCUAAAAUUGUUGUUAAAGAGAGUUUCCUAAAGGCAAAAGCAAUAUUUGAGUUUGUUGAUGUUAGGUGGGCAAUUUUGUUCCAUUUCUUACAUACUGUGAAGGAUACAUCAUACAUCAUACUUCCCAAUCAAGCUCAAUGAUUUUAGAGUUGAUAAUUCUUGAGUCAUGUAUGCAUUUGGUAUUACUAAGGUUUAUGGAAUCCCCAUAAAAGGUUAACUUGUAUAUAUUUGAAGAAAAGCAUGAAAUAUGAAGUUAGGAACACCAGCAUGGGUAAGAUUUUCAAAAGUCCUAAAGGAAUGUUCAAACAUCCCCAAGGAAUAAUCAAAUAUCAAUAGGGCAUUCAAAUGCUAAAGUGUAGAAUGUUCAAACAUUCCAUGUACUGUUUGAAUAUCCCUUUCGGGUGUUCAAAUGUUGGAUUUUUUUCUUUUUUCUUUUGUUGUUGCAAUUUUUAUUCCAUUCUUCAUACUAUCGGGGCAUUUUUAUAGAAUUAAGUUAUAAUUGUUUUCCAAAUCAAUGCCCUAAGUUUUUGGUAUAAAAACACAAGUUUAAUAUAUUGAAGAUGAUGUACAAGAGAUUAUUCAUCUUGAUAGCAUUAAGAAGCACUCUAUUUCUCAAUCUUUCAUGACCAAUAUUCUUGAAACAAACCUUUUAGCAAAAUAAAGAUCAAGGAUUCAAGUUGCUAAAUCUCAAUAUGAUUUUUGAGGUGAUCCAAUAAGGGGCAUGGAGUACUACAUCAAGGAUGUGAAAAAAAAAAAAAAAAAAAAAAAGAGUUGAGGCACUAAUAAUAUAAAAUCCCGUAGAAUAGGUGCAUCCGAUUAGAUAAAACCAUGUGUUUUUUUUUCUCCAAAUUAUUUAGCAGAUUAAUUGCAUUUGAUAGACCAUCCAUGUUUUUUACAUUUGGGGGUUUCUAGGUGCUUUUUCCACAUUACAUCUUGUGUCACUUGUAUGAUUUAAUAUUCUUAUGACUAAUAUAAUUCAAUAGCUAUUUAUUGUUCAUAUAUAUGGAAGUAAUUAAAAAUUCUAAUAAAGAUUAUUACUUUGGUGAUAUCUGAUUUUUUGAAAACUAGACCGGACUAACUGGCUUGAUUGUGGUGGACUUUUUGGUCUGAUCCUCUCUAUAAAACUAGGUAGUUGAACCGGCCACAAGCCACCCGAACUAGCAGUUGGAUCGGUGAACCUCCUAGACCGGGUGGUUCCACAUGAACCGAAUGGUUCAAUUCCCAUACUCUUCUUUCAUUAAAUAGGCCCAAUUUAAAACCCAACCUUUCCCUCUUUUUCAUUGUAAGAGGCCCAAAUAGAAGCCCAAGUCUUCCAUUAAAUGGUAUUAGAGGGAAAAGCCCAACCCAAACACCACUUAACGACACUUUGAUUUAUUAGGGCCCUUUUUUUUUCUUGUCCACAUCCAAUGUGGGAUUCAUGAUUUUAAGUAUAAGAAAAAUGAAGGAUUUGAACUCUAAACCUCCAAUUAAGCAAAAGACAUGGAUUACCACUUGGCUAUGUACACUUUGUUACUUUAAAUGACAAAUAAAAGAAUGUAUAUGUUUCUAAGAAGAUUUAUAAUAUUAAAUAAAUAUAAUAUAAUAUUUUCUAAAAUUGUAAAAUUAGUUAAAAUUAAAUAAUUAGAUUUUCUUUCAUUUUGAAUAUAUUCACAAUAAAAUAUUAUACAUAUUUCAUUUGACAAAAUUCAAAAUAUUAAUAUAUUUAUACUGAAUCAUAAGACAUUAAACUAAAUGUUGGAAACAAAGGAGAUGUCUAAUAUCGUUAUUGUCAUUCUACUUGUACUAUUUAUAGAAUAUAUGUUUUGUCAUUGUUAGCUAUUGCUUAAAUAAUCAAAAUAUUUAAACUACUAUUGCAUGUGAAUGCAUGACUUUAAUGAUAAUAAAAUUAAAACGUCUAACAUAAGUAACAAGGAUAGAGUAAAAAAUAAUCUACAUAUUUAGAAUAGUUACUAAACUUGUCAAUUAACCAACUAAAUAAGGAUAAACUACAAUCCAUAUUAUGUCUCCUAGCUCUCCACUGGUUAUUGCCAUUACAAAAAAAUGUCACCAAAGUAUCAUUGGCACAAUCGGCUCCUAACGGUUAAGUGAAUAUAAUCAAAAUCAAAUAUGUAAAGCAUAUCUAUGAACAUACCUUUUCCGACUCUGCUCAUUCCAUUGGAUUUCUAUUU